CCUACGGUAGGCAGCAGUGAGGAAUAUUGGACAAUGGGUGAAAGCCUGAUCCAGCCAUCCCGCGUGCAGGAAGACGGCCCUAUGGGUUGUAAACUGCUUUUAUCUGGGGAUAAACCUACUUACGUGUAAGUAGCUGAAGGUACCAGAAGAAUAAGCACCGGCUAACUCCGUGCCAGCAGCCGCGGUAAU
rnacentral:rRNA from 1 species